rnacentral:rRNA from 1 species
AGUGAACGCUGGCGGUAGGCCUAACACAUGCAAGUCGAACGGCAGCACAGUAAGAGCUUGCUCGUACGGGUGGCGAGUGGCGGACGGUUGGGGAAUACAGCGGAAUCUACUUUUUCGUGGGGGAUAACGUAGGGAAACUUACGCUAAUACCGCAUACGACCGACGGGUGAAAGCAGGGGAUCUUCGGACCUUGCGCGAUUGAAUGAGCCGAUGUCGGAUUAGCUAGUUGGCGGGGUAAAGGCCCACCAAGGCGACGAUCCGUAGCUGGUCUGAGAGGAUGAUCAGCCACACUGGAACUGAGACACGGUCCAGACUCCUACGGGGGGCAGCAGUGGGGAAUAUUGGAGAAUGGGCGCAAGCCUGAUCCAGCCAUACCGCGUGGGUGAAGAAGGCCUUCGGGUUGUAAAGCCCUUUUGUUGGGAAAGAAAAGCAGCAGGUUAAUACCCCGCUGUUCUGACGGUACCCAAAGAAUAAGCACCGGCUAACUUCGUG